rnacentral:rRNA from 1 species
ACAUAACUGAUGCCUCCGCGUAUCGACUUUGUGCGCAUUUUAGCUAUUAUGUGUUCUUUUAAUUAAAAUGAUUCUUUUUAAGAUUCAUCUAUUAAAAAUUUGCUUCGGCAUAAUUUUUUUUGAUGAUCUUGUUACUUUGAGUAAAUUAGAGUGUUCAAAGCAAACAGAUAUAGCAUUUGUGCGUUUGAAUACUACAGCAUGGAAUAACAAAAUUGAACAAGUCAGAAUUUUUUUGUUCUUUUUUCUUAUUUUGGCUUAGUUACGAUUAAUAGGAGUAGCUUGGGGGCAUUUGUAUUCAGAUGUCAGAGGUGAAAUUCUUAGAUUUUCUGGAGACAAACAACUGCGAAAGCAUUUGCCUAAAAUACUUCCAUUAAUCAAGAACGAAAGUUAAGGGAGUGAAGACGAUCAGAUACCGUCGUAAUCUUAACCAUAAACUAUGCCGACUAGGCUUUGGAUGAAAGAUUUUAAAAUAAGAGUUUUUCUUUUCUCUCCGGAGAUUAGAACUCUUAGAUUGCUUCCUUCAGUGCCUUAUGAGAAAUCAAAGUCUUUGGGUUCUGGGGCGAGUAUUCGCGCAAGCGAGAAAGUUAAAAGAAUUGACGGAAGGGCACCACCAGGCGUGGAGCUUGCGGCUUAAUUUGACUCAACACGGGAAAACUCACUAGUUUAAGACAAGAGUAGGAUUGACAGAUUAAUAGCUCUUUCUUGAUUUCUUGGAUGGUGAUGCAUGGCCGUCUUUAGUUCGUGAAUAUGAUUUGUCUGGUUAAUUCCGAUAACGAACGAGAUCUUAACCUGCUAAUUAGCGGCAAAUACGAUAUAUUCUUAUGUAGAAUUGAAUAUAGUGGAUUUGUUAGAUUUUGAAGAAAAUAUUGGAAUUACGUUAAAUGUGAUUCCUUUCCCUUUUCUACUUAAUUUACAUUUCCAUCUAUUUCUUUUUUGCGUAUGAAUGUAUUUGCUUGAUUGUAAAGCUUCUUAGAGGAACGAUGUGUG